UGUACCGGUAAAAUGGCGUAAAAAAUGUGGAGGAACACCAGGUGGCGAAAGGCGACUCUCUGGUCUGUAAACUGACGCUCAAGGAGCAAAAACGUGGGGAACCAACACGAUUAGAUACCCCUGGUAGUCCCUCGCCGUAAACCAUGAGUGGUAAUGUUAGAGGGUUUCCGCCCCUUAGUGCUGCACCUAACGCAUUAAAACUCCGCCUGGGGGAGUACAGGCCCAGACUGAA
rnacentral:rRNA from 1 species